rnacentral:rRNA from 1 species
AUUGAACGCUGGCGGCAUGCCUUACACAUGCAAGUCGAACGGCAGCACGGGGCAACCUGGUGGCGAGUGGCGAACGGGUGAGUAAUGCAUCGGAACGUGCCAUUGAGUGGGGGAUAACGUAGCGAAAGUUGCGCUAAUACCGCAUAUUCUGUGAGCAGGAAAGCAGGGGACCGCAAGGCCUUGCGCUCUUUGAGCGGCCGAUGUCAGAUUAGCUAGUUGGUGAGGUAACGGCUUACCAAGGCGACGAUCUGUAGCGGGUCUGAGAGGAUGAUCCGCCACACUGGAACUGAGACACGGUCCAGACUCCUACGGGAGGCAGCAGUGGGGAAUUUUGGACAAUGGGCGCAAGCCUGAUCCAGCCAUGCCGCGUGAGUGAAGAAGGCCUUCGGGUUGUUAAAGG